UAAAUUGUGCGACUAUAUGUUUAUAUAUUGGAAUAAUAUAAUUCAUAUCGCCUACUGCUUUUGACGAGCAAAGUAUAUUUUGUUAUUAAACGAAUAAUAUCGCGUGUUCUCUGGCUAUUAUCCCGAUAUUUGCAAAUUAUCAUAAUUACAAAACUAUCAAACAAGGUCAAAUUUCAACCGCCAAAUGAUAGAACUCUAUGCAACCCAACUCUUUAGUUUAUGGGUUCAUUGGCUAUGGUAUCUACCUGUGCCGUGCGCGACAUAUUUUACCUGUCACUGCGUUGACCGUGCGGCGUUGCCACACUUCGCAUGUGACAUUGAGCUCGCAGCUGUCGCGCAAGACAAAGUUUUUAGUUUUCGUCUUCGUAGUUUACAUUACAAGUAACUUUUUAUUUUAAACGUGAAACUAAUCGCUAUUUUAAUUAAAACUGUUAUUUUGUAAAUCAGAUUUAUAGUAUUGAGGUGUAAUAUACCCACAGUGAGUUUUAUUUGUAUUGUUUAUACACGAUGUUUUUAUCGUACGAAGUUUUAGCGACAUUUGGUGUGUCUGCGCUGGUAUCGUUCUCCAUAUCAGCAGUAUUGUUGUUGAUGGUAGCCUCGAAGAAAGGCCUAUUGGAGCCUAGGAAAUUCCAACCUCUGUCAACAUCAGAGACCGUCACACCUGUACCAUCAGCCCCUGAAAUGGCACCUUUAAAAACAUAAAAGCUGAAAUGCUAUAUUUUGUGUAUCUAGAUAUAUAAUAUGUAUAUAAUGCAUAAAUAAUUAUUAUUACGCAUUUAGCAACCAUUAAUCUACAAAUUUAGAAAUAACAAUACUUAGGCAUAUAUAUUAUUUAAACGAAUAUGUCGAUAAUAAAAAAGUAUAAAAAUAAUUCGGUUAGCAAUCCAUAUAUACGUAGGUAUGUAUGGUGGCAAGCCUAAUUUAAACUUAUAGUACGACAUCCGGCUACAGGAUUAGUGCGCUCAUCGGUUAUUAACUAAAAACCAUUUUUUAUUUAAAUUUAUAAUUUGAAGAAAGCAAAAAUUAGGUUCAAUUUGAUAUAUGAAUAAUUAAUGUACGUUAAAAUGUAUCGAAAUCACGAUAGUAUUAGUUUACGAAGAAGUGCAACUAGUUGAUCAACGGCACGCGUUGUUUUGUUUAAUCUUUUUGUAAAUUCCCGUCAUAUAGACGAUAUUUUAUUUAAAUAACAAGUGAACGAAAUGAUUUCCCAAAAAUCAAUUUAAAAUAAUUUCAUUAAAAAUACUAGUGACCAAAUUUUUAUAGACAACUUGGUACAGCAGAUUUGGUUUUUAGCUAAUAUAUAUCACAUAGCUUAUAUCAUUAUUAACAUUUAAAUAGCAAAGCUAACCUACGUUUAUAAACUAAAUUGAAAGUAUUUAUAAAAUGUGUGCCAUUUGCAAACUCGGUGUAUAGUGAUUAUCGAAAAGAUUGAUAUAAAAUUUUACGUUGGUAAAUGUGAUCGUAUUUCGUGUGUCUUUUAGCUUUUUAUUAUUGUUACUAAUUUAAUAAUCUCAGUAUUUUAGUAACUAUUAAUUUGUUUUUAGAUAACCUAUUAAAUUUACUUUUUUCACAACUAAAUCAGUGUGCACAGUGUAAAGUAUGCCUUCUUACUCUCUCAAGUUGUUUAUGCUGUGUUAGAUAGAGAUGUGUGAUUUAUAACAGCUGGUAGGACGGAUUUUGUUUGCAUGGAAAAUUGAUUGAAGUCACAAAUACAAUCUUAAGUAUUAAUCUGUUACCCUAGCACAUUUAUGCUUAUAUGUAUGUACUUAAGGACUAAUUAUUUUUGUUUUAUAUUAAAGUAAUUAAUGUU